AAUGAACGCUGGCGGCAGGCCUAACACAUGCAAGUCGAACGAGGUAGCAAUACCUAGUGGCGGACGGGUGAGUAACACGUGGGAACGUACCCUUUGCUACGGAAUAGCCCUGGGAAACUGGGAGUAAUACCGUAUGAGCCCGAGAGGGGAAAGAUUUAUCGGCAAAGGAUCGGCCCGCGUUGGAUUAGGUAGUUGGUGGGGUAAUGGCCUACCAAGCCGACGAUCCAUAGCUGGUUUGAGAGGAUGAUCAGCCACACUGGGACUGAGACACGGCCCAGACUACUACGGGAGGCAGCAGUGGGGAAUCUUAGACAAUGGGGGAAACCCUGAUCUAGCCAUGCCGCGUGAUCGAUGAAGGCCUUAGGGUUGUAAAGAUCUUUCAGGUGGGAAGAUAAUGACUGUACCACCAGAAGAAGCCCGGCUAACUCCGUGCCAGCCGCCGCCGUAAUAC
rnacentral:rRNA from 1 species